CCAGGACUCCGGUGGGGCUGGCAGUUGUGCGUAGGUAUGCUGGCAUCCUGACAAGCAUCCUCCCACCUGCUCUGCCCUACAAAGAGCUCUCGAGGCCUCCCAAGGUGGGUAGAAGGGGUGCUGCUCCCCGGGCUGCGGUGGGGCUGGGCCUGAUCCCGGAUCUGCAGAACCUGCAGGGUGGCCAGAGCCAGCCUUGGAGAGAGAGCUCCGCUCUGCUUUCCACCUGAGGUAUGGAUGGAGUAGGAGGAGCAGCUGUAAGGAGGGGGCCAGGAACGGGGCUGGCCUCUCCUGAUUGUUCCACCUUACCCAGCUCAAGGAGGCAGAUUCUAGGGGACCUAAUUUCUAGGGGUUAGGGUUAGGUUCGGUUGGUGGACUUGGCUGAUCCUUCUCCCUGAUUUCUGACACAGCCCUUGGGGGCUGGCAGGGACUUCCGCAUCCCCAUCCUCAAACAGGCAUGACUCAGAUCUUUUGACUCCCUGCCCUCCUGGCCUCCGUGAAAAUAGGAACCUGGAGCCCUGGUGCCCAGCUCCACCGAGGGGGUGGGACCUAGCAGCCUGGCCCCUCCUUGGGCCAGGGCAUCAAAUAGCCGCCCGGGCCCUGCGCCAGAGCUACUGUGGGACCCGAGCCCGCGCGAUUGUCCACUGCUACAGGCUGCCCUCAGCUUUGUUCCGGACCCUAGUCAGAUCCGGAUCCUGACCCUUUGGCACAGCCCCAUUUACGCCCUGGAGUGGGAGGACGGCCAUGGGCCGAGAGCGCAGCGCAUCGUCCUGGAGAGCCAGCGAGAGUGCAGGUGGAAGACGAGCCUCUGCGCAGUCCAGGAUCGGAGCGGCAGGCUCGGCCCGGUCCCCGAGUUCUCCGCGCCGGGCAGGAGUGUGGGUCGCUGUAUCCCUCUGCUGUUGCGCUCACCGGGCCUGUCGGCUCCUUCCAGUCCCCCCGCUCCGCGCCAUGGGCGGGCCCUGGGCCCUGCUGGCUGCACUCUGGGCAUUUGGGGCCGCCGCCGGGGCCGCGGAGCUGCGCAUUGGAGCCUUCAAUAUCCAAAGCUUCGGCGACACAAAAGUGUCGGACCCGGCCUGCAUCAUAGUCAUCGCGCAGAUCCUGGCUGGCUAUGACAUCACGCUGGUGCAGGAGGUUCGAGACCCGGACUUGAGCGCCGUGUCUGCACUCAUGGAGCAGAUAAACAGAGUGUCCAAGCACAACUACAACUUCGUGAGCAGCGAGCCCCUGGGUCGUGACCAGUACAAAGAAAUGUACUUGUUCGUGUACAGGGACGACAAGGUGUCUGUCGUGGAUACGUACCACUACCCAGAUCUGGAGGACGCCUUCAACCGUGAGCCUUUCGUGGUCAAAUUCUCAGCCCCCAGCUCAGCAGCCAAGGAGUUCGUGCUGGUCCCACUACACGCCGCGCCGCACCACGCCGUGGUGGAGAUCGACGCUCUUUACGACGUGUACCUGGACGUGAUCGACAAGUGGGGCACAGAUGCUCUGCGCGCUGGCAGGACAUCCUGUUCCUGGGCGACUUCAAUGCCGACUGCAGUUACGUGCGGGCGCAGGACUGGGCCGCCAUCCGUCUGCGCAGCAGCGAGGUCUUCAAGUGGCUCAUCCCAGACAGUGCCGACACCACGGUGGGCAACACAGACUGUGCCUACGAUCGCAUUGUGGUCUGCGGCGUACACCUGCGCAGGAGUCUGAAGCCGCAGUCGGCCGCUGUGCACGACUUCCAGGAAGAGUUCGGCCUGGACCAGGCUCAGGCUCUCGCCGUCAGUGACCACUUCCCUGUGGAGGUGACCCUCAAGUCCAGCUGACAGCCCAAGGCCUGUCCAGAGGACUGCAGACUCCAGCCAUCUGGGACAGCCCCCUGGGAGCUCUUUCAGGGUGGCCAGCUACCCCCCAGCAAGACCACGGGGCAGGGCCAGCCAGGCCUGGGUGUUAGCACCUACCAUCCACAGCCUGGACAAGCGGCCACGGACACGUUACGGGACACUCAGAUCCUCUGUUUCCCCGUUUGUAAAAUGAGACGUGAUGCCUACCUCAUAGGACUAUAAAUAGUGAGGAAUCCUCACACAGGGCCCAGUGCGCAUGCUCAAUAAAUGCCACUCUCAGCCAGGUGCAAACAGGUCGCUCCCAGCCUCCAUGUCCUUUCUUAGGACUCAGCCUUUCUGAGCUUGUGGUUCAGCCUGGCAGACAAGUGGGUCUGUGGUCCCAGCCCCCUUAGGGGACAGGGACAGCCUGGUCUGCCUAUUUUAUGUCCUGCUGAGAACAGCCACCCCCAGACCAUGCUGGGUCCAGAUGGCAGCCUGUCUGGAGUGCCCUCCUGGUUCUUUCUUUGUGCAAACUGUAACUGCCUCCAAGACCCUGUACUGGGUGGGGUGGGCAGGUGGGUGGGCUCAGUGCUCAGUCACUGGGCCUGUCUCAGGCAACUUUCCCUUUCAAGGGCCCUGCCCUGCCCAGUACCGAAGGGGUAGGCCACAGAGGCUGCCACCAUUCCCCCAGCUGACUGACUGCCCUGGGGCGUUUGGGGAGCCAGGUGCAGGAGGGUGGCCUUGGUCCCUGCGUAAAUCUCUCACACUUCAGUGGGAUACAGAAGGUGUGUUCCUGGUUUUUGAAGUGUCUCAUCUUUGGUAACCAAAGAAUCGUUUCAGAAACAGGAUUUGGGGACUGGCUUGAAUCGUAUGGGAGAAAAAGUAUUUGUUUCAAGGGUUGGACAAGUUCUUUCUUACAAAGCCUUUCUAGAAUAAGACCUUGAAUGGUCGGCAUAGAACCCCUUCCAACAAGAGAUGCUUCUCAUCCCCUCUGUGUCCCUAAAUUUCCCUGGGUCCCUGUGGAUGUGCUUCAUGCAAAUGAACGAAAGCGGUAGCCAGGAGCUUUGGGUGGGGGCCACCUGGCCUCCCACACCAGCAAGCAGACAGCCCGGAGGGCGGGGAGGGGUGUCCUGAGAACUUUAUUCACGAUUCUACUUCGCAGGAAGAGCACUCAGGGCCCCCGCCUGCCCCUCAUGAUUCCCAGGUUGGGGCGUCACAGCCAGGUUGGGACGUCACCAUCCUCCACCACCCUGCCAGGCAGAAAAAGCACUUGUGUGGGUGGUGAAGGCCUCAGGACACUGGGUGGCAGAGACCAAGGUCUUCCAGGAAGAUCACCAAAACAAACAGAAGUACCUUUUACAUGGAAAAAUACCUUGUUUAAAGCCCCCUGGAGCCAGAGGGCCCGUGGAGGGGUGCCUCUGGCUAAGACCCCACUGAGGCAGCCCUGACCUUAACCUUUCUUUUGUCUGAGCUUCUGUAGGUAUGUCUACAUGGCCUUCUGGAUGGAGUCUCGGGAGGUGAAGACGAAGAACUGGAUGUCAGCAUCUCUGCUUCACCAGGUGGUCCACGGUCAGCUUCCACAUCAUGCUCUUGGUCAGCUGCUGAGCAUGAUCUACAGAUAAUGGGGCUGCGUGAAAACCUGCUUCCAGGGGCAGCAGCCUCAUGCUGGACCUUGCCAAGAGUGUACAUGCAAACUCAGGCAGAAAAUUCAGAAAAUACAGAUCAAGAGGAGACAAUGAAAACCAUCUGUCUCCAGUGGCCCACUGAUUGUUUUUGUAAACAGAGAGGAUGCUACUGUAAAAAGUGCCUUUUGAACCUAUUAUUUUCACUCAGCUGUAUUACCCAGAAUAUUCUCCCUGUCAUGAAAUGCACUUUGACAACAUAGUUAGUAGGUGCCUGGUGUUCCGCCAUUUGUCUGUACCAGGAGUCAGCAGACCUGCCUCUGCCUGGUUUUGUACAGCCUGCAAUGGCUUUUCCAUUUUUAAAUGGUUGAGAAAAAAAUUAAAAUCAUAAUACUUUGUCACAUAUGGUAAUUAUAUGAAAUUCAAAUUUCAGUGUCCAAGUUUUAUCAGCACACGGCCUAGCCUAUCUAUUUACAUACUUUCGAGCUACAAUGGACAGAGACCAUACGGCACCCCAAAGUCAAAAUUCUACCUGGCUUUUUGAAGAAAAAGUCUGCUGAUCCCUGGAGUAUGUCUUAAUUUACUUAACCAGCUCUGUCUCUGUAAACAGACGAGCAGCUAUUUCCACCACCACUAGCUGCCAUGAAGUCCACUCCAACUCGUGGGUCAGAGUAGAACUGUGCUCUGUAGGGUUUCCAAUGGCUGAUUUUUCAGCAGUAGAUUGCUGGGCCUUUCUUCCUAGUCUGGAGGCUCCAGUGAAACCUGUUCAGCAUCAUUGCAUGAUAGCAACAUGCAAGCCUCCACUGACAGAUGGGUGGUGACUGCGCAUAAGGGGCACUGGCCUGGAAUCAAACUCAGGUCUCCCGAAUAUAAGGUGAUAAUUCUACCACUGAACCACUCCUGCCCUGCCCCCAACCAGUUGCAGUUGAGUUGACUUGACUCAUGGCAACCCCACAUGUGUUAAGA